GGCAACAAGGCUGCUUACUUUUGCCGCAAGACCUUUUACGCCCUCUGCGUCAUGAUUGUAUGUGACCAACCCUGCCGAUGACUGCCCUCGUACUCGGGGCCCGUGCACGACGCCUUUAUGUGGAAGACAUCCACCGUGAGCCCGGACUGGGCAGUGGACACCGUGGCCAGGUGAUAGUGCAUACUCGCUUCAACCUUGGCUGCUUAACCCCAUCCCUGGAGCACAUCCUGCAGAA